rnacentral:sRNA from 1 species
AGAAGCAGAAUGCAACACAUGAAGUUCUUAUCAUUAUAAUAAGCUUCAAAUCAGCAUCAUUUGCCUGAUGUUUCU